CUGAGAUCUACUUAAUUGUAGUCUCCUUCUUCUUCCUGCAACUCUAAGCUUCAAAAAUGGCGAAACUGGAGCCGCUUGAUGGGCUAGCCAAAGAUAACAGUGUCUCUGGAAAGAAGCAGAAGAGAAAUCAUGGGUCGACUUCCUUUUUCGUCUUCGUCGAUUACCUUUUCCUCUUCAUCUUUCUUGGCUUCCUGUUCUUCAUCCUGUUCAAGAUGUUCGCUGUCUGAGCCGACACAGAUUUCCACCUCCCAGUUUGAAGAUUAGGUACCCAAAUGAUAGAACUGUAGAUACGUUAGAAGUACAGGUUUGGUUAGAGCUACAAGAGGAGGUAUCUUCAUCUUUUUUUAUUAUAGACCUGAGUUUAGUGUUCUCUCUAAAUGCUACUUGUUGCAGAAUUAAUAUCAUCAUAAUGAAUCUUGUUUGGUGAAUUGCAUUGAAGUAUUGG